rnacentral:sRNA from 1 species
GCUGGUUUGAAAACCAUGGCGUGGGUACCAGCGGAGUCCGCCGUGGAAGAGUUGAUGCCUCGGCUGUUGCCGGUAGAGCCCUGCGACUUGACGGAAGGUUUCGAUCCCUCGGUACCCCCGAGGACGCCUCAGGAAUACCUGAGGCGGGUCCAGAUCGAAGCAGCUCAAUGUCCAGAUGUUGUGGUAGCUCAAAUUGACCCAAAGAAGUUGAAAAGGAAGCAAAGUGUGAAUAUUUCUCUUUCAGGAUGCCAACCCGCCCCUGAAGGUUAUUCCCCAACACUUCAAUGGCAACAGCAACAAGUGGCACAGUUUUCAACUGUUCGACAGAAUGUGAACAAACAUAGAAGUCACUGGAAAUCACAACAGUUGGAUAGUAAUGUGACAAUGCCAAAAUCUGAAGAUGAAGAAGGCUGGAAGAAAUUUUGUCUGGGUGAAAAGUUAUGUGCGGACGGGGCUGUUGGACCAGCCACAAAUGAAAGUCCUGGAAUAGAUUAUGUACAAGUAAGGGCUGUGUGGAUAAACAGAACAAAAAGCAUUUUAAUUUUGGUGCACCACUUAAUAUAAGGGGUCAGCAAACUCUACUCUGGGCCAAGUCCAGUUCAUGGCCUUUUUUAUAUCCAUGAGCUAAGGAUUGUUUUUAGGUUUUGAAAGAGUAAAAA